rnacentral:rRNA from 2 species
AUGCGUUGUUGGGUAGGGGAGCGUUCUGUAAGCCUGUGAAGGUGUGUCGUGAGGCAUGCUGGAGGUAUCAGAAGUGCGAAUGCUGACAUAAGUAACGAUAAAGCGGGUGAAAAGCCCGCUCGCCGGAAGACCAAGGGUUCCUGUCCAACGUUAAUCGGGGCAGGGUGAGUCGACCCCUAAGGCGAGGCCGAAAGGCGUAGUCGAUGGGAAACGGGUUAAUAUUCCCGUACUUGGUGUUACUGCGAAGGGGGGACGGAGAAGGCUAUGUUGGCCGGGCGACGGUUGUCCCGGUUUAAGCGUGUAGGCUGGUUUUCCAGGCAAAUCCGGAAAAUCAAGGCUGAGGCGUGACGACGAGGCACUACGGUGCUGAAGCAACAAAUGCCCUGCUUCCAGGAAAAGCCUCUAAGCAUCAGGUAACAUCAAAUCGUACCCCAAACCGACACAGGUGGUCAGGUAGAGAAUACCAAGGCGCUUGAGAGAACUCGGGUGAAGGAACUAGGCAAAAUGGUGCCGUAACUUCGGGAGAAGGCACGCUGACACGUAGGUGAAGUGAUUUACUCAUGGAGCUGAAGUCAGUCGAAGAUACCAGCUGGCUGCAACUGUUUAUUAAAAACACAGCACUGUGCAAACACGAAAGUGGACGUAUACGGUGUGACGCCUGCCCGGUGCCGGAAGGUUAAUUGAUGGGGUCAGCGCAAGCGAAGCUCCUGAUCGAAGCCCCGGUAAACGGCGGCCGUAACUAUAACGGUCCUAAGGUAGCGAAAUUCCUUGUCGGGUAAGUUCCGACCUGCACGAAUGGCGUAAUGAUGGCCAGGCUGUCUCCACCCGAGACUCAGUGAAAUUGAACUCGCUGUGAAGAUGCAGUGUACCCGCGGCAAGACGGAAAGACCCCGUGAACCUUUACUAUAGCUUGACACUGAACAUUGAGCCUUGAUGUGUAG